UACGAAGGGGGCUAGCGUUGUUCGGAAUCACUGGGCGUAAAGCGCACGCAGGUGGCUGAGUCAGUCGAUUGUGAAAGCCCUGGGCUUAACCUGGGAAUUGCAGUCGAUACUACUCAGCUAGAGUAUGGGAGAGGGCAGUGGAAUUCCCGGUGUAGCGGUGAAAUGCGUAGAUAUCCGGAGGAACACCGGUGGCGAAGGCGGCUUCCUGGACCGACACUGACGCUGAGGCGCGAAAGCUAGGGGAGCAAACGGG
rnacentral:rRNA from 1 species